rnacentral:misc_RNA from 1 species
UAACCGUAGGUGAACCUGCGGUUGGAUCAUUAAAAAUAACAUUAGAAGGUCUCUUUCUUAGAGGUCCUUUCUAAACAUCUUUGUGAAUUGUACAUGUCUCUGGUGUGUGAAAAAGUUUGAAAGUUUAAUAAAGUCUCAAAGUGAUGUGUCAAAACGUUACCUUUUGUACUAUUAUUAGGCCUUCAUUCCGCGCACACCAGUUUAUUAUUUAACCUUAUGAUUAUUUAUUCCAGCCUAAAAAUCUUGUUUAUAAAGAAAUUUUUUAAAACAACUUUUGACAACGGAUCUCUAGGCUCUC